GACGAAGUCGUAACAAGGCAUCCGUAGCGGAAGCUGUGGAUGGAUCACCUCCUUUCUAGGGAGA
rnacentral:rRNA from 1 species